rnacentral:lncRNA from 1 species
CCACCGCCACCGCCAAAGACUCCAACGACAACUCAAGAUUGCAACCCUAAUCCAAGCCAAUACGUGCCAGUAGCGCCGCCGCCUCCAAGGUUUGUUUACGUGACAGGUCUACCUGGAGAUGUACCGCCGCCACCUCCGAGGUUUGUUUACGCGACAGGUCUACCUGGAGAUGUGUAUCAGUACCAAACCGAUGCUUAUGCAUAUUACUCAGCUGCUCCACGUCAUCACUACAGCAUGGGGUUGCUACUCUUGUUGGUAUGUGCAGAAGUAAUAAUGGCUUUUGGGGGACUCUGAUAAUCAUAUUAUCUAGGUAACUAAUUUGGCCAUGGUCUAUUAAUUUGUCCAUGAGAUCAUGGGAUGUAUCAAUUAAAAGGCUAAUUAAGUAUUCAAUCCAAGUUUAUUAAUUAGCUAGGUCUGUUUGAUUAAUUAGUACUGUUUCUAUAAUGCUAUUGUUGUCCUUAAGUAAUGCUUGCAAUUUUCUAAUGCUAAUGUCGAAUUAACUCG